GAUGAACGCUGGCGGCGUGCUUAACACAUGCAAGUCGAACGAUGAAGCUCAGCUUGCUGGGUGGAUUAGUGGCGAACGGGUGAGUAACACGUGAGUAACCUGCCCUUAACUCUGGGAUAAGCCUGGGAAACUAGGUCUAAUACCGGAUAGGAGCGCCUACCGCAUGGUGGGUGUUGGAAAGAUUUGUCGGUUUUGGAUGGACUCGCGGCCUAUCAGCUUGUUGGUGAGGUAAUGGCUCACCAAGGCGACGACGGGUAGCCGGCCUGAGAGGGUGACCGGCCACACUGGGACUGAGACACGGCCCAGACUCCUACGGGAGGCAGCAGUGGGGAAUAUUGCACAAUGGGCGAAAGCCUGAUGCAGCGACGCCGCGUGAGGGAUGACGGCCUUCGGGUUGUAAACCGCUUUCAGUAGGGAAGAAGCGAAAGUGACGGUACCUGCAGAAGAAGCACCGGCUAACUACGUG
rnacentral:rRNA from 1 species